rnacentral:antisense_RNA from 1 species
AUUUUUAGUUUUUUUUUGUUACACUUAUGUAACUUUUAAUGUACAAGCAAGUGAGUAUUAUAUACCUUCUUUUGCCUGUACACUGUUAAUAUACUAUCUAUCAAUUUUUUUAAAAAGUACGCACUUUAUUAACACAUAGUAUAAAAAGUAUACUAUAAGAAAAAUUUAUCUAUGGGAAAUGUGAUCAAAAACUGGAAAGUUUAAAGGGAAAGAAAUAAAAAUGACGGC